rfam:Vigna angularis cultivar Jingnong 6 scaffold625_8, whole genome shotgun sequence.
AGCCGUGUGAUAAAUACAAAGCGAACUAUUCUUUCGCCUUUUACUAAAGAAUACCGUGUAUUUGUCACAUUAAGCGGCAUACGCUGAUUUUUGUAAAGGGAUCUAAAUCAGAUCCU